CUACGGGCCGCAGCAGUGAGGAAUAUUGGACAAUGGAGGCAACUCUGAUCCAGCCAUGCCGCGUGCAGGAAGACGGCCCUAUGGGUUGUAAACUGCUUUUAUACAGGAAGAAACGCCUCCUCGUGAGGGGGUUUGACGGUACUGCACGAAUAAGGAUCGGCUAACUCCGUGCCAGCAGCCGCGUGUAAUACGGAGGAUCCAAGCGUUAUCCGGAAUCAUUGGGUUUAAAGGGUCCGUAGGCGGUUUAAUAAGUCAGAGGUGAAAUCCUACAGCUCAACUGUAGAAUUGCCUUUGAUACUUUUAGACUUGAGUUAUUGUGAAGUAGUUAGAAUGUGUAGUGUAGCGGUGAAAUGCAUAGAUAUUACACAGAAUACCGAUUGCGAAAGCAGAUUACUAACAAUACACUGACGCUGAGGGACGAAAGCGUGGGUAGCGAACAGGAUUAGAUACCCUGGUAGUC
rnacentral:rRNA from 1 species